rnacentral:lncRNA from 1 species
GCCGAAGCACCCCCAACUCUGGUCUAGACUUUCCUUGUAGGUCCCGACGACGGACGCGAUCCCCUCGACUCCAGCUUCUCCGACGUCGGUGAAUUCUGCACCAACAGAAUUGGUGCUAGAGGAAGGGCUUUUGUGUCUUCGCAAGACCCUUGUUCUUAAAGGAGUACUCAACAGGACUGUCUUCGAUCAUCUUCUUUGAUAUUUUCUUCUCUUUCUCCUACCAGAUCUCCACCUGAUGCCUCCC